rnacentral:rRNA from 1 species
GCGUGAGUGAAGAAGGCCUUCGGGUUGUAAAGCUCUUUUGUCCGGGACGAUAAUGACGGUACCGGAAGAAUAAGCUCCGGCUAACUUCGUGCCAGCAGCCGCGGUAAUACGAAGGGAGCUAGCGUUGUUCGGAAUUACUGGGCGUAAAGCGCACGUAGGCGGCUUGCCAAGUUAGGGGUGAAAGCCCGGGGCUCAACCCCGGAACUGCCCUUAAAACUGGCGAGCUUGAAUCCGGGAGAGGUUGGUGGAAUUCCGAGUGUAGAGGUGAAAUUCGU